ACAUUCCCUCUGUCAUUAGUGAGAUACCAGCUACUAGCCCCAGCACUGCCUCUUUUAACAACAAAGAAAUCUUUUAUCCUCUAACAGUGUAACUUCUCUGUAGCUGAUCCUGUCUUUGGUUGAAUAUUUUUACAAUUGAAUUUUUGUUAAAAUAAAAAUAAAUGUUUACAAAUGAAAUGAAGCCUCACCCUCAAAGAAACAGAAGUGAUAGGAGAAAGAAGUGAUUCUGGGAACUCCUCAAUGUAAUAAUGAAUUCAACAUUCUUCAAUCAAAUUUAAAAUUUAAUUAUAGGUAAUUGUUCUUUUUUUAAUGAAGUACUUCUGACAUAAUGCUCCAUUAUUAUAUAAUUAGAUAAUUAACUCCAUUAAUCACCUUACAACUUAUUUUUCUCUCUGUUUUCUUUAAAUAUUUAUAUACUGUGCCCAUUUUUAUAGCCACAAAGCUCACCAUAAUCAAGAGUGUGAGUCAGGGUAAGCAAUAAAGGAGCUUGGUGAAGGACAGCCACUGCUAUUUCCCCAUGUACCUCUCAUGUUUCCUGAUUUAUCAAAACUUAAAGGGUUUUCAAAGUACCUUUUAAGUUCUCAAACCUAUGACCGUAAACAUUUCAUCUACCAUCUGCUGACCACCUAAUAUGUGUCAUUCAUGCACGUCUCUAGUCCUGGACUCAAAGGAAAGGGAUCGCAAGAGAUACUAAGGCAUAACCUUUGACCUAAAAGAGCUCCUAAUUUAUUGACAGAGAACCCAUGAAGGAUGCCAAUGGCUCCUUCUCUUAAGAAGUUCACAGUGUAUAAUAGGAAUUCAAAUGUAAAAUCUGUCUCAGAUAGGAGAAACAGAUUUAGGGCCCCAAUAAUGGCAGGAGAGUUUUUCUGGCUGCAUCCAAUCUUCUGGUGACCUUGAUCUGGUUAUGCUUUACAUAUUGAGUUAACUCUGCAUUAUACAUGGGUUGUUACAGGUCUAUGGUAGACAGCUCAUGUCCUUGCCUGCAUUUUUGGUUCAUAUACUAGCACGGCAUGAUACUCAUUUUUCUUAUUUGUAUGUAACCAAAAAAUUAUAUUUAAACUGCACUUACCUUGCCCAGGGACAGUUAUCUAACAUGGCUCUUCAGCCUUCCAUUGUAUAAUCUUAGGCAGGUUACUUAACCUUGUUAUGUCUCAGUUUCCUCACCCGUAAAAUAAGAUAGUCAUAGAUGAGUGAGAAUUUUAGAAAUAUUAAUAUUAUAUUCAUAAGUAAAUAUAAAUCAUUCAGAGUAAUUCCUAGCACACAGUAAAAAUGCAAAAUAAUAGUUAUUAUUUCUAUUCUAUUUUUUUAUUAGCAUUAGCUAGAGAUGCAAUAAAAACAGACUCCAUCAAUAUCUUCUUUCCUAUCCCAAACUCACAUCUGAAUAUUCUUUAAUGAUUUUCAUGGGAGUGAUUCAGGGGGUUGUGUGUAUUAUUAACCUUCUUGUUUUUAAGAGGCGAGAAAGCACAUUUGAACGGACUGUUGUCUUAAAGUAUCUUCUCCAUUAUUUUGAUUGUCUUAAUGGUUAUUACCCAUGGGUAUUGCACUAGUAAACACUCUCAUGACUAAAGCAGUCUUGCAAAAAGUAAUAAAAAAAAGAAAAGGAAAAUGAAAAGGAUGAGCAAGAAGAUAGAAAGGCAACCUUUUCUUAUUGGUGACUUACUGGAACUUUAUUAUUUAACUGCUUCAAAUCUACCCACAUGUGGUUACCCUGGAUUAUGUACAUCUGAUUUGCUGUCAUUGUAGAGAACUCUUCAAACUUUGGCAAGCCACCUGAAACCUAAGUGUUGAGAAUCUCUUAUGGAGGAGCUGUCUGCUUUGUGAGAAAGUUCCUGAAGAAAGUUUUUAGAAAUCUCACCGUUAGCUGGGAAAUCAAAUGAUUAAAUAUUGUAGUAACAAAU
rnacentral:lncRNA from 1 species